GCGGAGGAGAAAGAACCGUAUGAAUCAAAGGCUCGGGAUGACAAAAAACGAUACAAGGAAGAAAUCAGUGGCUACAAGAAUCCACAGCCAAUGAAUAUAGAUUCAGGGAAUGAAUCUGACAGUGCGUAGAUGAUCGAUCAAUUCCUAGUUCUUUAUUGGCUCUUUCUUGUAGUUCAUUUGAACGCAACUUCAUGGCUGAAUGGCAUUUACAUGUACUAGGUUGUUGUUCCGUA
rnacentral:misc_RNA from 1 species